AUUGAACGCUGGCGGCAGGCCUAACACAUGCAAGUCGAGCGGAUGAAGGGAGUUUGCUCCUGGAUUCAGCGGUGGACGGGUGAGUAAUGCCUAGGAAUCUGCCUGGUAGUGGGGGAUAACGUCCGGAAACGGGCGCUAAUACCGCAUACGUCCUGAGGGAGACAGUGGGGGACCUUCGGACCCCACGCUAUCAGAUGAGCCAAGGUCGGAUUAGCUAGUUGGCGGGGUAAAGGCCUACCAAGGCGACGAUCAGUAACUGGUCUGAGAGGAUGGUCAGUCACACUGGAACUGAGACACGGUCCAGACUCCUACAGGAGGCAGCAGUGGGGAAUAUUGGACGAUGGAGGAGAGCCUAAUCCAGCCAUACCGCGUGUAUGAAGAAGGUCUUCGGAUUGUAAAGCACUUUAAGUUGGGAGGAAGGACAGUAAGUUAAUACCUUGCUGUUUUGACGUUACCAACAGAAUAAGCACCGGCUAACUUCGUG
rnacentral:rRNA from 1 species